rnacentral:rRNA from 1 species
UUGAGGCGUGGCUUCCGGAGCUAACGCGUUAAGUCGACCGCCUGGGGAGUACGGCCGCAAGGUUAAAACUCAAAUGAAUUGACGGGGGCCCGCACAAGCGGUGGAGCAUGUGGUUUAAUUCGAUGCAACGCGAAGAACCUUACCUACUCUUGACAUCCAGAGAACUUAGCAGAGAUGCUUUGGUGCCUUCGGGAACUCUGAGACAGGUGCUGCAUGGCUGUCGUCAGCUCGUGUUGUGAAAUGUUGGGUUAAGUCCCGCAACGAGCGCAACCCUUAUCCUUUGUUGCCAGCGGUCCGGCCGGGAACUCAAAGGAGACUGCCAGUGAUAAACUGGAGGAAGGUGGGGAUGACGUCAAGUCAUCAUGGCCCUUACGAGUAGGGCUACACACGUGCUACAAUGGCGCAUACAAAGAGAAGCGACCUCGCGAGAGCAAGCGGACCUCAUAAAGUGCGUCGUAGUCCGGAUUGGAGUCUGCAACUCGACUCCAUGAAGUCGGAAUCGCUAGUAAUCGUAGAUCAGAAUGCUACGGUGAAUACGUUCCCGGGCCUUGUACUCCCCG